rnacentral:lncRNA from 1 species
CGUCUGCUCCUCCCCUGAUCGCCGUGGAUCCUCGCGCGCCGGGCGCGUCUGGCCCCCUCCUCCGUUGCGCCCCGCGGGGACAUUCACGAGCGCGCGCACCUCCUCGCACAGAGGAACCCGGGGUUGGGAGGCUCCGAGCGAGCUGCGAUUGGCUGACGUGGAGGCUGCGCGUCUGGCCUGAGAAACUCUGGGCGAGAGCGCAGAGUCUGCUCCCGGGGCUGUGCAGGGCGCAUCUCAGCCUCAAAUCUUGGCGCAAAAACCAGAGACAUUGCCAGAGCAAACAAGAACAGAAGUGCAAAUGGAGGACUGGUCAAAAGGUCAGAGAGUCAAGACUUAAGAUUCUGAAGCAAUUGAUAAGGUGUUGCCAUGGGGCACGCAGAAGCCUUGUGUACUGCAGUCCGUGGGGUCGCAAAGAGUUGGACGCACCUGAGCGACUGAACAGCAACAGUAACAGUGGGGAACUGGGGGCUUUUCCUUACUGGCUAUGCUCCUUGGCUUAUCUUUUUACCUGUUGAAGAAUCUUUGUACUUCAUAAACUGAAGAAUAGCAUAGGGCCUAAUAUGAAUUGUUGUCUUCUGAUAUGCCUCUGGAGACAAUUUUUGUUGUUUUGAUAUUGUUUUCUAUAGCUGUAAUUUUCUUUAAAUUACUUUAAAAGUCAUAGGUGUUCAGGAUGGGGAACACAUGUAUACCUGUGGUGGAUUCAUUUUGAUACUUGGCAAAACUAAUACAAUUAUGUAAAGUUUAAAAAUAAAAUAAAAAAAAAAAGUCA